rnacentral:rRNA from 1 species
GACGAACGCUGGCGGCGUGCCUAAUACAUGCAAGUAGAACGCUGAAGGAGGAGCUUGCUUCUCUGGAUGAGUUGCGAACGGGUGAGUAACGCGUAGGUAACCUGCCUGGUAGCGGGGGACAACUAUUGGAAACGAUAGCUAAUACCGCAUAAGAGUAGAUGUUGCAUGACAUUUGCUUAAAAGGUGCAAUUGCAUCACUACUAGAUGGACUUGCGUUGUAUUAGCUAGUUGGUGGGGUAACGGCGCACCAAGGCGACGAUACAUAGCCGACCUGGAAUGGUGAACGACCACAAUGGGACUGGGACAAGGCCCAGGCUCCUACGGGAGGCAGCAGUAGGGAAUCUUCGGCAAUGGGCGGAAGGCUGACCGAACAACGCCGCGUGGGUGAAGAAAGGUUUCGGAUCGUAAAGCUCUGUUGUAAGAGAAGAAAGAGCGUGAGGGUGGAAAGUUCACGCUGUGACGGUAUCUAAACAGAAAGGGACGGCUAACUACGUG